AUGUACUCAUCAUAUGGGCCCCACCUGGCAGCGAGACGGCGCCUUGGCCCCACGUGCAGGUCGCAAACAAGACAGAGAGAGGAGGAGGAGGAGGAGGAGAAAGAGGAGCCGCAGAAGACGAGGACAGCAGCCCAACAAGUCAGGGAUCGAUCGAUCGGAUCCAACUCUGUCCGUCCGUGCUAUAAGACGAGCCACCGCCCGGUUCCCAAAUUCCUCCUCCGUCUGCCUGCCUUCCGCGACCGCCAGAGUCCUGCACUCCACAACAACCAUCGACAACAAGCGCCCGAGCACGCGGCCGCGAUCUCUCGCCCACCCACCACCCGCGCCAUGGCUUCCACCAAUGGCGGCGCCGUCAGUCCUCUUGCAGCGACCGUUCCAGUUGAGGCGGUUCUGUUUGACAUUGAUGGUACCUUGUGCGACUCGGAUCCUCUUCAUCACAUCGCUUUCCAAGAAUUGCUUCUUGCGAUUGGGUACAACAAUGGUGUGCCGAUUGACGAUGAGUUCUUCAUAAACAACAUCGCUGGAAGAAGCGAUGCUGAAGCUGCCCAGAAUUUGUUCCCAGACUGGCCCCUCGAAAAGGGGCUGAAAUUCCUAGAGGACAAAGACGUCAAAUACAGAAGUUUGGCGAUGGAGCGCCUAGAGCCUGUAAAGGGCCUCCACAAGGUGGUUCAGUGGGUGAAAGAUCACGGCUACAAGCGUGCCGCAGUAACCAAUGCCCCAAGGAUCAAUGCAGAGCUCAUGAUCAAACUUCUUGGUCUAUCAGACUUCUUCCAGGCCGUGAUUGUUGGAGGUGAAUGCGAGAAGCCAAAACCCGCCCCCUUUCCAUACCUGAAGGCCCUCAAGGAGCUCGGAGUGUCCGCAGCACACACCUUCAUCUUUGAGGAUUCCGCUUCAGGGACACGCGCAGGUGUUGCCGCCGGAAUGCCCGUCGUCGCCGUCUCGACGAGGAACCCGGAGAAGUCCCUACAGGAAGCUGGGGCCGCAUUGAUCAUCAGUGACUAUGAAGACCAGAAGCUGUGGAACACGCUCGAAGAGAUUGAUAGGGAGGAAGCGAAGCUAAAGACUGGUGGAGCCUGA
rnacentral:rRNA from 1 species